rnacentral:rRNA from 1 species
UACGUAGGGUGCAGGCGUUAAUCGGAAUUACUGGGUGUAAAGCGUGCGCAGGCGGUUUGCUAAGACAGGUGUGAAAUCCCCGGGCUUAACCUGGGAACUGCGCUUGUAACUGGCAGGCUUGAGUGCGGCAGAGGGGGGUGGAAUUCCACGUGUAGCAGUGAAAUGCGUAGAGAUGUGGAGGAACACCGAUGGCGAAGGCAGCCCCCUGGGUCGACACUGACGCUCAUGCACGAAAGCGUGGGGAGCAAACAGG